AUGCUUUAAUAUAUUUAUCUUCUCUAUUUACUUUUAUGCCUUUAUUAUUAUCAAGUAGUGUAGUUGUUAUAUUUUGGCAUAGGAUCUCCAUUCGCAUCGAGUGCUCUAGUUAUUCAUGGUAAUUAGAGUAGUAAUCGUUAGUGUAGACGUGGUGUCUAUACUAGAGGUUACAUGAGGUUGCACCCAGUCCUGCGGAUUGUUGUGGUAGCCCUAGGGUAGUGACAGCCCUAACGGUCGACGUAUUCCACCUCGUUC
rnacentral:lncRNA from 1 species